GAUGAACGCUGGCGGCGUGCCUAAUACAUGCAAGUCGAGCGAAUGGAUUAAGAGCUUGCUCUUAUGAAGUUAGCGGCGGACGGGUGAGUAACACGUGGGUAACCUGCCCAUAAGACUGGGAUAACUCCGGGAAACCGGGGCUAAUACCCGAUAACAUUUUGAAGCGCAUGGUUCGAAAGUGACAGUCGGCUUCGGCUGUCACUUAUGGAUGGACCCGCGUCGCAUUCGCUAGUUGGUGAGGUAACGGCUCACCAAGGCAACGAUGCGUAGCCGACCUGAGAGGGUGAUCGGCCACACUGGGACUGAGCCACGGCCCAGACUCCUACGGGAGGCAGCAGUAGGGAAUCUUCCGCAAUGGACGAAAGUCUGACGGAGCAACGCCGCGUGAGUGAUGAAGGCUUUCGGGUCGUAAAACUCUGUUGUUAGGGAAGAACAAGUGCUAGUUGAAUAAGCUGGCACCUUGACGGUACCUAACCAGAAAGCCACGGCUAACUACGUGCCAGCCGCCGCAGUAA
rnacentral:rRNA from 1 species